GGGAAGGAAGGGAGCGGAAAGGCCGAGCGCCACCCGCCCCGGGAGUCUCCAGAGCAGCGCGCGGGGCAGACCUCCUCGGGUCCUCCGGCGCUUCGGUCUCCGGAGACGCCCGGCCUCCUGAAGGGUUCGGCUUGUCCUCCUCUGGCGCUCAGCUCCCUCUGGCGGCCGGGCUGGCAGGACCUCAGCGCCCAGCCCUUCCGUCUUGUUACGUCCAGGGUCUCACUCUGUGUCUCAGGCUGGAGUACAGUGGUGCAAUUGUAGAUGGCUGCAGCCCUCGACCUCCUGGGCUCAAGUGAUCCUCCUGCCUUAGCCUCUCGAGUAGCUGGGAGUACAGAUGCACACCACCACACCCAGCCUAGAAUGAAGAAACCUGCAGUUGGGAAGCAUGAAUUUACCACCUAUUAAGAAUUGUGGCUUGCAUUGUAAGAGGAGCCUGUGAAUUCAGAGGCAAGUCUGCUGAGGACCGAAUGUUCCUGUCCAUAAAAACAGAAGUCUGGCCUGGGCUCCUCUCUUGGGUGAAUUUGCAAUGCCAGAUCCUCUCUAUCAGUUUGGUUUUGUUUCUUGUAUCUCUGGGAAGGCAGGCAGACAGCACGGUCACCUGUGAAUGCAGCUACAAUUGGCUUAGCUGCCUCACUGAUAAAUGUGCCCCCAGUAAGCUACAAAGGGAUUACCAGCGUUCUCAGCAGCUAAAGGAACUGGUGAAGAUUUCCCCAGCAAAAAGUAGAAGCUCAGUGUUUCAUAGAUGAAGACUGGGGAGAUUGCAAAAGACCCAUCCAGCAGUGGUUCUCAGACCUCAGUGUGCAUCAGAAUCACCUGGAAGGCUUGUGAAAACACGUAUUGCUGGGCCACACCCCCAGAAUUUCUGGAUCAGUAAAGCUGGGAUUCUUACUUUGAGUAGCCAACUUGCAGAAUACAAUAGAAUUUUGGGAGGAGCCCCUCGAUGCCUGGCUUUACUGUUGGAGAGACAGUACAGUAUACACCAGAUGACUUAUUUGUGAACCAUGGAAACGUUUGGAAAAGAGUCUCACUUUGUCGCCCAGGCUGGAGUACAGUGGUGCGAUCUUGGCUCUCUGCAACCUCUGCCUCCCAGGUUCAAGUAAUUCUCCUGCCUCAGCCUCCCGAGUAGCUGGUACUACAGGCACACAUUUGUAGAGAUGGUGUUUCCCCAUGUCAUCCAGGCUGGUCUGGAACUCCUGGGAUCAAGUAAUCCACCCGCCUCGGCCUCCCAAAGUGCUGGGAUUACAGACGUGAGCCACCACGCCCUGCCAAUAAAAAGAUUAUCUCCA
rnacentral:lncRNA from 1 species